UACGUAGGGUCCGAGCGUUGUCCGGAAUUAUUGGGCGUAAAGGGCUCGUAGGCGGUUUGUCGCGUCGGGAGUGAAAAACUCAGGGCUCAACCCUGAGCGUGCUUCCGAUACGGGCAGACUAGAGGUAUGCAGGGGGAGAACGGAAUUCCUGGUGUAGCGGUGGAAUGCGCAGAUAUCAGGAGGAACACCGGUGGCGAAGGCGGUUCUCUGGGCAUUACCUGACGCUGAGGAGCGAAAGUGUGGGGAGCGAACAGG
rnacentral:rRNA from 1 species